UCUGCAGCUGCAGGGCAGGGGGCAAGUCAGAAAGUACACUGUGCUUUAAUAUUUAUUUUUAUAGCAUAAAAAGUGCUGCUACAAGUACCUUCAUUGCGAUAAAUACUGAUUUGUUACUUCUUGUUAGUCAGUGUUAAUGUUAGUUAUGGAAUAAAGUUCUACUAAGUCUUUGACAGACAGCUGUCAUCACAAAUUUCCCUUUGCUGGGUGUAGCAUUCUACAUCAUAGACCUUUCUUUAUGAAGAGGAGAAAAUGAUCACAGCACUGACAAGUGAAUUUUUGAGCAACAGAACCAAAAUCAGGACUUCUGCAGACUCAUGUCUCAUGAUGAGAUCUCAAAUGUAUGCAAUGGAACAGUGCCAGUCAGCUGAAACUGAAAUUAACAAGAGAAAAGAAAAAAAGAAGAAAAGCAGAAGGAAAGAGUUCACCAGAAGAACACAAGGUGAUUUCAAUUCCAAGACUGAUAUUUAAAGAGACAGUGUGAAGACUCUAACUCCUUUUUAUAUAUAUAAAAAAAUUACUAUAUUGAACAGCAGGCUGGUAAAAUUAUUUACAAACAAUGAAUUUCAUAUUUAAUGUUUUUCUGCCUCAAAUUUUUCUCUUCUCUUGUGAUCCAUUCAACAAGAGCUGCAUUUGAAGCCAUUUAGAAUUCAAGGUGAAUGCCAAGUUUCAUCUCAAGCAAUUCCUGAAUCUGUAGGUUCUCAUUUCAUAUGUGAUUCUCUCCAGUUAGCAACUGCUAUACAUAUGAAG
rnacentral:lncRNA from 1 species